GCGGACGUGGCGAAAUCGGUAGACGCAGCAGACUUAAAAUCUGCCGGCCUCGUGUCAUGCGGGUUCAAGUCCCGCCGUCCGCACCA
rnacentral:tRNA from 1 species